GAGGGAGGGGCCCUUCUGCAAAAGCUCCAUCCCCUCGCGCUAGGGUUUUAAGGUUUUGAGUCGGGAAGCGCCGCCGGCGACGACGACGACUACGACGGGGAGCUGAGAUGGCGGACGCGGCGGUGAGGUGCCUCCGGGACGGCCGCCUCGACGGCGAGCACGCGCCGGCGCUGGCCGUGGAGGGCUCCCUCCAGUGCUGCCCGCUCGCGGCGCGCGCCAUGCUCCACGUCGCCGCCGCCGUCGCCUCCAACGCGGCCGCGGGGAAGGCACAGGCCAGGGGACUUGUGGUCGUGGCGUUUGAUCGUAGCCCGGAAGUUUACCUGGAUAUCAUGCUUCGGCACGGCCUUGAUUCAAAUGCACUGAGUCGAUGUGUUCGGAUAUUGGAUUGCUACUCAGACCCACUGGGGUGGAAGCAAAAUAUUCGAAGUCAGCAGCAACAAGAGAACAGUGGAACACUGUGCUCAACAAACAAAGACACCAUAACAACUUUCAGAAGUGUGAAGGAUGUUGAUAAGUUGUCGUGCUCCAUAAUUGAUCUUGGAAGAGGGUUUGAAGGAGAAGGCAAGACCUAUUUUUCUGUUGCUGUUGAUUCAAUCAGCUCUAUGUUAAGGCAUGCUUCAGUGCAAUCAAUUUCAGGCCUUCUUAGUAAUCUUCGAAGCCAUGAUCAGAUAUCGUCGAUCUUCUGGCUAAUGCAUUCAGAUCUCCAUGAAACCAAGUUUUCCCGAGCUUUUGAAUGUCUUUCUACCAUGGUUGCUUGUGUAGAGCCAGAAGUUGUAGAUUCUGUAUAUGGAGAAGAACGUAGGGGGGACAUGUCUUUCCUUGAGCAUAACUAUUCGAAAGCAAAGUUCCAUGUGCGCCUGAAACGAAGGAAUGGACGGGUGAAGCAUCUGUAUGAGGAGUUAUGUGUCGAGGGAUAUGAUGUAAAAUUUAUUUCUGCUACUUCUGUAAGUAUGGAAGUGAACCAAAGUCUACUACCUAAGGUUCAGUUCAAUCUUGAGUUGUCAGAAAAGGAGCGCAGUGACAGGGCAAAUGUUGUUCUUCCUUUCGAACAUCAAGGAAAGGGCGAGCCAAUCCGUAUAUACGAUGGACGGCGAUCUCUCCCGGAGGCUCAUCAAGAUCCCAAUUUAACUACGGCAGCUCUCCUGGAUGAAACAGAAGCUCUUAAAUCUGCAAACCCGAAGGGUGAAAUUCAUUACCUUCGUGAUUCUGAUGAUGAGCGACCUGACUCGGAUGAAGACCCCGAUGAUGAUUUGGAUAUUUAGCCACAAUAUGAGCUCUGUUUAUCUUAGUGGGCAGCUAUCAAAUCAAAGAACUUCGAAGCCAGAAAGAAGAAGGCUACCGAGCAUGUUGCCACCGCCACGACUGACCUGGCCAACUGGAGGGAACAUAAGGUGCUUGCGAAAAUUCUUGGAGGCGAUCCACUUCGCCUCGGCGGCUGAGCAAGUGCAAAGUUAUGGUUGAACAAUUUAAGCACCUGUAUCAUGUAUAGCUUCGAGAGCAUUGGAGGGCAACCUUUGUGUAAGGUUUUGAAAUUUCUUGAAUGCUUAAGACUAGACGUGUUGAUGGUAGCAUAUCGAGUGAAAGGUCCCCAAUUGCGAUUUUGUAGUUUUUGUUUACGUGGAUGAAUGCUGGCUAGUGUCA